ACGAACGCUGGCGGCGUGCCUAAUACAUGCAAGUCGAACGCUUCUUUUUCCACCGGAGCUUGCUCCACCGGAAAAAGAGGAGUGGCGAACGGGUGAGUAACACGUGGGUAACCUGCCCAUCAGAAGGGGAUAACACUUGGAAACAGGUGCUAAUACCGUAUAACAAUCGAAACCGCAUGGUUUUGAUUUGAAAGGCGCUUUCGGGUGUCGCUGAUGGAUGGACCCGCGGUGCAUUAGCUAGUUGGUGAGGUAACGGCUCACCAAGGCGACGAUGCAUAGCCGACCUGAGAGGGUGAUCGGCCACAUUGGGACUGAGACACGGCCCAAACUCCUACGGGAGGCAGCAGUAGGGAAUCUUCGGCAAUGGACGAAAGUCUGACCGAGCAACGCCGCGUGAGUGAAGAAGGUUUUCGGAUCGUAAAACUCUGUUGUUAGAGAAGAACAAGGAUGAGAGUAACUGUUCAUCCCUUGACGGUAUCUAACCAGAAAGCCACGGCUAACUACGUGCCAGCAGCCGCGGUAAUACGUAGGUGGCAAGCGUUGUCCGGAUUUAUUGGGCGUAAAGCGAGCGCAGGCGGUUUCUUAAGUCUGAUGUGAAAGCCCCCGGCUCAACCGGGGAGGGUCAUUGGAAACUGGGAGACUUGAGUGCAGAAGAGGAGAGUGGAAUUCCAUGUGUAGCGGUGAAAUGCGUAGAUAUAUGGAGGAACACCAGUGGCGAAGGCGGAUUGCUGGACGACAACUGACGGUGAGGCGCGAAAGCGUGGGGAGCAAACAGGAUUAGAUACCCUGGUAGUCCACGCCGUAAACGAUGAGUGCUAAGUGUUGGAGGUUUUCCGCCCUUCAGUGCUGCAGCUAACGCAUUAAGCACUCCGCCUGGGGAGUACGACCGCAAGGUUGAAACUCAAAGGAAUUGACGGGGGCCCGCACAAGCGGUGGAGCAUGUGGUUUAAUUCGAAGCAACGCGAAGAACCUUACCAGGUCUUGACAUCCUUUGACCACUCUAGAGAUAGAGCUUCCCCUUCGGGGGCAAAGUGACAGGUGGUGCAUGGUUGUCGUCAGCUCGUGUCGUGAGAUGUUGGGUUAAGUCCCGCAACGAGCGCAACCCUUAUUGUUAGUUGCCAUCAUUUAGUUGGGCACUCUAGCAAGACUGCCGGUGACAAACCGGAGGAAGGUGGGGAUGACGUCAAAUCAUCAUGCCCCUUAUGACCUGGGCUACACACGUGCUACAAUGGGAAGUACAACGAGUCGCAAAGUCGCGAGGCUAAGCUAAUCUCUUAAAGCUUCUCUCAGUUCGGAUUGUAGGCUGCAACUCGCCUACAUGAAGCCGGAAUCGCUAGUAAUCGCGGAUCAGCACGCCGCGGUGAAUACGUUCCCGGGCCUUGUACACACCGCCCGUCACACCACGAGAGUUUGUAACACCCGAAGUCGGUGAGGUAACCUUUUGGAGCCAGCCGCCUAAGGUGGGAUAGAUGAUUGGGGUG
rnacentral:rRNA from 1 species